AACGGAUGUACUUUUAGCUACCUGUAGCAAAGCGACGAAAUCGCGGAGUGAGCCACGCCUGUCGCUACGUAUCUUUUAUUUAACUUGCAAUGUACCUAUGUAAAUAUGUAACUAUGUUUGUACGGGUCAAAUCUUGCAAGCUAAAUUUGACCCAUUUUCCGACUUCCAAUGAAGCUGAAAAUUUGCAUACAUAUGUAAGUCGGAUGACAAUGCAAUAUUAUGGUACCAUCGAGCUGAUCUGAUGAUGGAGACAGGUGGUGGCCAUCAGAACUCUGUGAUGAAACAACGCAACCUAAUUGUGUUUGGGGUUUUUAGAAUCCUCUCGAUGAGUAUUAGUUGUCUGUGGAAAAAAAAGUACAGUCAGCGAUAGAAGCUUGUACCAAAAAU